GCUUUAUUCUCUCACAAAAAUCAUGCCAAACAUUGCAAUAUACGUUUUAUUACUAUUGUGUGUUUAUAAACACGUAAUAUAAUUUACUUUCGUAGUAGAUUUCCUUGACCAAGGAAGGAAUUAAAAUUUCCUUGAAGAGUGAUUAGUGGUUUUCAUAAGAAAACCGUCGACGCGCGCGCGCACCAGAAACAAAAUAUUUUGAUGACCUAUAUACUGUUAACUGUAGAAAUCGACAUCGUCGAUAAUUUCGGGCGGGAAACGAAGUAAUUUUGUUCAUUAAAAACAUUAUACAGCCCAGACAACUAUUUUAAAACGAGCCAUGUAAACACUUUAGUUUUAUGAAUUUUUCUGUGUUGGUGUUGUGUACUCAGGUGAAUAAUAUGUUUGCGAUGUUACUCUGAGUGCAUAUCCACACCGGGCGAGCUUGAAAAAUAUGCCCGGCCACGGUGGGAUUCGAACCUACGACCUUUGGAAUA